rnacentral:rRNA from 1 species
CGCGGCCUAUCAGCUUGUUGGUGAGGUAACGGCUCACCAAGGCGACGGCGGGUAGCCGGCCUGAGAGGGCGACCGGCCACACUGGGACUGAGACACGGCCCAGACUCCUACGGGAGGCAGCAGUGGGGAAUAUUGCACAAUGGGCGAAAGCCUGAUGCAGCGACGCCGCGUGAGGGAUGACGGCCUUCGGGUUGUAAACCUCUUUCAGCAGGGAAGAAGCGAAAGUGACGGUACCUGCAGAAGAAGCGCCGGCUAACUACGUGCCAGCAGCCGCGGUAAUACGUAGGGCGCAAGCGUUGUCCGGAAUUAUUGGGCGUAAAGAGCUCGUAGGCGGCUUGUCGCGUCGGUUGUGAAAGCCCGGGGCUUAACCCCGGGUCUGCAGUCGAUACGGGCAGGCUAGAGUUCGGUAGGGAAGAUCGGAAUUCCUGGUGUAGCGGUGAAAUGCGCAGAUAUCAGGAGGAACACCGGUGGCGAAGGCGGAUCUCUGGGCCGAUACUGACGCUGAGGAGCGAAAGCGUGGGGAGCGAACAGGAUUAGAUACCCUGGUAGUCCACGCCGUAAACGGUGGGCACUAGGUGUGGGCGACAUUCCACGUCGUCCGUGCCGCAGCUAACGCAUUAAGUGCCCCGCCUGGGGAGUACGGA